GCAGGCUUAGCCGAAUGGUUUCGCUGUCCACUUUGUAAGUGGAAGACCAUGGGUUCGAUUCCCAUCUGCUGCA
rnacentral:tRNA from 2 species